rnacentral:lncRNA from 1 species
UCUACUCCAUGGCCGAACUAAACGCACUACCAUUACAGCCUUAGCCAUAAUAUUGACUCAACUCUUAUUCCAUGGUAAGUGUUUGAUAAGUGUUUAGAAAUAUCUAAUUUGCUUUUCGUCGUCUAUUCUUCAGAGGAUAAGUGUUUAUUUGAUAUGUGCAGCUAGUCUUUCGGGUCGAGGUUUGAGAAGUGCACGCCAAACUUGUUUAUAACGACUGCUUUGAUCUCUUCACAGUCGCAGUGGAUGAGAUUAGACAUAUCCUCGGUCUCGGUUAUGUUCUGGGCCGGUUGUGUAUGGCUGAAGGUUAUGCAAGAAAACGAAGAUCGACAAAGUUUUAUUGGCUGAUGGUGUGGCGUUCAAACGACAAGAUCGAACAUGGUUGUUAUUUUGAAUAGUCGAUCGAGUAACCAAGGCCGAGGUUAUGUCCAAUCUCAUGCACAGCCACUGUGAGGAGAU